rnacentral:sRNA from 1 species
UCCUCUCCAAUGACCGCGACGAGAGCGGCG